GACCUGCUCGGUACAGAGUGAACACUCACAGAACUAAAGAAUGGAGGUCGAAAGGGAGAAGGCUACUUUCUGGGCCUGGAGGCAUUUGUAUUCCAAAUGGAGCCAGACGUGGUGUCUCCAGUUACCAGAGUGAUACGGUCGAGCUUCCUCUGAGAGUCCUCUCAUAAGGUCACGGUUACUCACUCUCUCCAUCCUGCCCAGC
rnacentral:lncRNA from 1 species